rnacentral:rRNA from 1 species
CGGUGCAGGAUGAGCCCGCGGCCUAUCAGCUUGUUGGUGAGGUAACGGCUCACCAAGGCGACGACGGGUAGCCGGCCUGAGAGGGCGACCGGCCACACUGGGACUGAGACACGGCCCAGACUCCUACGGGAGGCAGCAGUGGGGAAUAUUGCACAAUGGGCGGAAGCCUGAUGCAACGACGCCGCGUGAGGGAUGACGGCCUUCGGGUUGUAAACCUCUUUCAGCAGGGAAGAAGCGAAAGUGACGGUACCUGCAGAAGAAGCGCCGGCUAACUACGUGCCAGCAGCCGCGGUAAUACGUAGGGCGCAAGCGUUGUCCGGAAUUAUUGGGCGUAAAGAGCUCGUAGGCGGCUUGUCGCGUCGGUUGUGAAAGCCCGGGGCUUAACCCCGGGUCUGCAGUCGAUACGGGCAGGCUAGAGUUCGGUAGGGGAGAUCGGAAUUCCUGGUGUAGCGGUGAAAUGCGCAGAUAUCAGGAGGAACACCGGUGGCGAAGGCGGAUCUCUGGGCCGAUACUG